ACAAACAAACCUUUACGGUUUGCAUGAAAUCACACAAGUUGGAAAUAUCCUGCAGUUUUUAUCGUUUUUUGGUCGAUGCAAAGAAGUGGACGCUAUGCAGAUAGUUGUGCAGGUUAGAUGGAUCGAUGCCAUUGAGACUAAUGUCUUGCAAUAUUGCCAGACACCUUGAUACCCAGGCCAUGACAUACAGUUCCUGUAAGUGCUGACAUACCGUCAAAGCAGUGACUUGUGGAACACCGAAUGGUACAAUCACUUAUUUUUCAACUUUGAAUACAGGAUCAACAUGUGUUUCACAACAAAGUUCCUGCAAAACCCACGGCUGGAAAUCGGCUUAGGUGUUCACCAUCUGUGAUCAAUUACCACAAAGCGUGUCCUUGAACAAUGAACAUUCCAGCGUUUUUAUCCUUAAGAGGACAGUUGGCUUAUAAAAAAGUUUAACUGUGUUACAUAAUAGCCAGGGAAGUAUUUAUGUCGAGAGGGCUAAAGAAAGGAUAAAAUCCACAUACCAGCAGUCUACGAGCCAAUAUCAACCAAGAUAAAUAUGUACAUGGGAUGCAUUAAACAGUAUAUUAAAUAUUAAUAACGGUUUAUUUAACCGUAAUCUUUUAUUAACUUUUUCUGGAGUGACUUUUAAGUACAAUGUUCUACAUGUUCAUAUCUUCGGGAAUUUAUGAAUAAAAUAAAACUUGUGUGUCAAAUAGUUUAGUAUAAAUAAAAAAUGUACUACUGAU